CUUUCCCUCUGGCGGCAUGCCUUACACAUGCAAGUCGAACGGUAACGGGCCUUCGGGUGCCGACGAGUGGCGAACGGGUGAGUAAUACAUCGGAACGUGCCCGAUCGUGGGGGAUAACGAGGCGAAAGCUUUGCUAAUACCGCAUACGAUCUACGGAUGACAGCAGGGGACCGCAAGGCCUUGCGCGGACGGAGCGGCCGAUGGCAGAUUAGGUAGUUGGUGGGAUAAAAGCUUACCAAGCCGACGAUCUGUAGCUGGUCUGAGAGGAUGAUCAGCCACACUGGGACUGAGACACGGCCCAGACUCCUACGGGAGGCAGCAGUGGGGAAUUUUGGACAAUGGGCGCAAGCCUGAUCCAGCCAUGCCGCGUGCAGGAUGAAGGCCUUCGGGUUGUAAACUGCUUUUGUACGGAACGAAAAGCCUUCUUUUAAUACAGGAGGGUCAUGACGGUACCGUAAGAAUAAGCACCGGCUAACUACGUG
rnacentral:rRNA from 1 species